AUUGAACGCUGGCGGCAGGCCUAACACAUGCAAGUCGAACGGUAGCAGGAAGAAGCUUGCUUCUUUGCUGACGAGUGGCGGACGGGUGAGUAAUGUCUGGGAAACUGCCUGAUGGAGGGGGGUAACUACUGGAAACGGUAGCUAAUACCGCAUAACGUCGCAAGACCAAAGAGGGGGACCUUCGGGCCUCUUGCCAUCAGAUGUGCCCAGAGGGGAUUAGCUAGUAGGUGGGGUAACGGCUCACCUAGGCGACGAUCCCUAGCUGGUCUGAGAGGGUGACCAGCCACACUGGAACUGAGACACGGUCCAGACUCCUACGGGAGGCAGCAGUGGGGAAUAUUGCACAAUGGGCGCAAGCCUGAUGCGGCCAUGCCGCGUGUGUGAAGAAGGCCUUCGGGUUGUAAAGCACUUUCAGCGGGGAGGAAGGGGGAAUGGUUAAUAACCAUUGUCAUUGACGUUACCCGCAGAAGAAGCACCGGCUAACUCCGUGCCAGCCGCCGCCGUAA
rnacentral:rRNA from 1 species